rnacentral:tRNA from 1 species
CUCUGUGUAGCUCAGUGGUAAAGUAUGUGCUUAGCAUGCACAAGGCACUGGGUUCAAUCCCGGCACCAAAA